rnacentral:rRNA from 1 species
UACAGAGGUGGCAAGCGUUGUUCGGAAUUACUGGGCGUAAAGGGCGCGUAGGCGGUCAGGUCAGUCCCGUGUGAAAUCCCUCGGCUCAACUGAGGAACUGCACGGGAAACUGCCUGGCUUGAGUUCGGGAGAGGGAAGCGGAAUUCCGGGUGUAGCGGUGAAAUGACGUAGAUAUCAGGAGGAACACCGGUGGCGAAGGCGGAUCUCUGGGCCAUUACUGACGCUGAGGAGCGAAAGUGUGGGGAGCGAACAGG